GGAGAUGUGGCUCAGUGGUAGAGCACUUUCCUGGCAUGUGUGAGUCCUGGGGUUCAAUCCUCAAUACCACCA
rnacentral:tRNA from 1 species